rnacentral:rRNA from 1 species
CACGUAGGAGGCGAGCGUUGUCCGGAAUCAUUGGGCGUAAAGAGCGCGUAGGCGGCCUGAUCAGUCGGGUGUGAAAGCCCGGGGCUCAACCCCGGAACGGCACCCGAGACGGUCAGGCUGGAGACCGGGAGAGGAGGGUGGAAUAGCCAGUGUAGAGGUGAAAUUCGUAGAUAUUGGCUGGAACACCGGUGGCGAAAGCGGCUCUCUGGCCCGGUUCUGACGCUGAGGCGCGAAAGCGUGGGGAGCAAACAGG